UACGUAGGGGGCAAGCGUUGUCCGGAAUCACUGGGCGUAAAGCGCGCGCAGGCGGCUGUCUACGUCCGGGGUGAAAGCCCAGAGCUCAACUCUGGGAUUGCCUUGGAUACGGGAUGGCUUGAGGAUCGGAGAGGCAAGGGGAAUUCCACGUGUAGCGGUGAAAUGCGUAGAGAUGUGGAGGAACACCGAUGGCGAAGGCAGCCUCCUGGGCCAAUACUGACGCUCAUGCACGAAAGCGUGGGGAGCAAACAGG
rnacentral:rRNA from 1 species